AAAGUGCUGGGAUUACAGGCGUGAGCCACCACGCCCAGCCAGAGUUUCAAUCAUGGAAAGUGAAAAGGUUCUGGAGAUGUAUGGUGGUAAUGGUUGCACAACAAUGUGAAUGUACUUAAUGCCAAAAAAACCACUCAAGAAUGAUUAAAUGGUAAAGUUUAUGUUAUGUAUAUAUUUACCCCCGCUACACACACACAUACUGAAAAGUGCUUGGUAUUUUUAAAAAUCUUACAACAAAUUCUUUUGAAAAAGUUUUGUUGUUGUUUUUGUUUGUUUGAGACAGGGUCUCACUCUGUUCCAAUGGCUUCGUAUUCCUGCUCAUCUCAGCUUGACCUCUUGUGGCUAUCUCUCCUUUUGAAACUGUUCUUAAAUGGCUCUUUUCCCGAGUGUGCCCUUUAAAUGUUGGAGUGUCCCAGAGUCCUCUGCAUGACCCUCUCUCGUUUUGCUCAGCAAGCUCUCCUUAUAUAAUCUCACCCAUUCACACACAUGUGAAUAUGUUUCCGUCUGCUGGUUCUCUCCAUUUGGGUGCCCCAUUCUAAAAUGUCCAGAACCAAACUCAAUGUUUCCUUUCUACUCUCCCAUUCAAUGGCUAUAGGUUAAAAAAAGCUUCCUUCUCUAUUCUUCCAUCCCUCCCACAACUGUUAUCUGCAGCUCUGGUAUGUCACGCAAAUUCCGCCUCCCAAAAUCACAUGCAACUUAGUCUUCUCUGCCACAUCGCCGCUGUCAAGGCCUAAUCCAGGCCCUUCCCCGUGCUCACCUGGACUUUGCAGCAGUCUCCUAACUCGUCCAUUCUCUUUAGUCUUCCCCUUCCAGUCCAUCUUCCACACUGCUGCCAGGCAUUUUUCUAAAAUGUGAAUCUCCGCCAUUCCCCUGAUUUUAAAACUUCCAGUGGUUCCCUACAGCCAAUGGGGCAAAGGCCAGUCAUUCAGCAUUACACACAUGGCCCUCUCCAAUCUCAUUUCCUGCUGCUUUCCCACUUCCCAACGCCCCUGAACCUUAAGCUCCAUUACAACUUCUCAAGAAAAUGACAAUUCCCACCUCUACAGCGUGGUACAUGCUGCUUCUGAAACAUGCUCCUUGUUCUUCUCCAUUUGGUGGGCAACUGCACGCUCUUGAAGACUCAACUCAAAACGCCAGUCUUCCCAGACCAACCCCCACAGUCCAAAUUAAUUGAAGCGCCCAGAGCAGUUUGUGCAGGAGGUUGCAACGCUUAGCACGCAGCACUGCAUUUACCUGUUUCUUGCUUCCAAGUCAUCCCUGAAACCUUCUGUGUGGAGCAGCACAGGACCAGAAGACCUGCCUCACUCAGUUUGCAGUCACCCCUAGAUGCUUCAUGGCUUGUGUGGUCUACCUCUCUAGUCACACGUCUCCCAAUCCUCAAUGCUCAGGGACUCCACUGCCACACUGAUGGACCACCAUGGUCCAAGCACGUCCACUACAAGGCUUGGGGAAAUCUUUCAUUCGUUCACUCGACUCACAUUUAUUACACGUGGAGCUACACGGAUGAGACUUGGCUCCUCCCUCAGAGAAGCGAAAACAAACACACAAACAGACACGAAUAACACAGGUUGUAGAAACCUACACACAGAGUGAUUCCCAGGACAUUCUGGAGAUGGAGCACACAGUAGGACAAUGUGCCCGGCAAGUGUGGGGCCCUGGAAAUGGAAGAGACACUCGGUGGAAGCUUCUAGGACCCACAAGGUUUGAAGUGAGACUCAGAGAACAUAGAGAGAAAGAGGAGGGAAUAGGACGAGUGGGAAACAGGAAAUGGAAAAUGUAUCAAUUAACCAGAUUAACUUUUUGUCAACUGCUCAAGUACAAGAGUAAGAACCAUGACAGAAUCUCCAAAUAUAUCCAGAUCUUUUUUUUUUUUUAAUUGAUACAGGGUCUCUGUCACCUAGACUGUAGUGCAGUGGCAAAAUCAUAGCUCACUGCAGCCUCGACCCCCCGGGCCCAAGCGAUCUUCCCACCUCAGCCUCCUGAGUAGCUGGGUCCACACCCAGCUAAUUUUUGUAUUUUUUGUAGAGACAGCAUUUCGCCAUGUUGCCCAGGCUGGUCUCGAACUCCUGGGCUCAAGCAAUCCACCUGCUCUCAGCCUCCCAAAGUGCUGGGAUUACAGGUGUAAGUCACCGCACCUGGCCCUAGAUCUUUAACAGUAAAAGUAAACAACACAGUGAUCUCUGGAGACAUAUACAUUAUCACUCCCUUUCUUUUCUGUCUCCCUCUCUCACACCCACAGACACACAGAAAAAGCUUAAUGUCUAUGUAAUGAAUACCUAAUGGCAGUACUGACACAGUCAGAGCCUCUGCCCCCUCCAGUCACUUACGAUCUGUGCCAUCCACGGUGAAGGCACCCAGGUGUCCCUCCCUUCUGCUAUUCCUUCUCACCAUCCCCUGGCCCUUUUGUCUCUUCUGUGCUCACCUCCCACGCACACUGCAAAACGAGGCUACAUCAUCAGAGGCUGCCCUAUUUAUUCAAAGAUGAUGUUACUGAGAACAAUCAUAUCUUUUUGUUCUAAAACGAACUUAUCAACAAUAGUUCUUUUUUCACAGCAUAAAGACUACUCUUAAUUUGGAACCAUAGUUAUUAAUGCUAUUGUAAUUUAGUUUAAGUCUUAAAUGGACCCAACAUUUCUUCUUAAAAGGAAAACAACCCUAUCAGGAAUAAUAAUAAUAAUAUAAUCAUCGUCACAUCAUGUUACAGAGAAAACUCGCAUUUAAUUUCUGGGUUUGUCAGUGUUUUACUACACAAUUCUUUGGUCCACUUAACCUCAAAUCCUUACACAAAUCUGUGUUAUGUCACAUAAAGACAUUUUAAAAUUAUUUUCAUGUUUUGGCUCCAUCUUAUUGAUAAUUAUUUCACUAAUUUGAAAACAGAUUAAAUCUAUGUACAGAUACAGAACAUAAAAUAAUACUAAAUAAGGCCAGGCAUGGUGGCUCAUGCCUGUAAUCCCAGAUCUUUGGGAGGCUGAGGCGAGAGGGUAACUUGAGCCUAGGAGUUCAAGUCAACCCUGGGCAACAUAGCAAAACACUGUCUCUACAAACAAACAAACAAAAAACACAAAUUUGCCAGGCACGGUAGCAUGUGCCUGUAGUACCAGCUCCUGGGGAGGCUGAGGUGGGAAGAUUGCUUGAGGCCAGGAGGUUAAGGCUGCAGUAAGUUGUGAUUAUGCCACUGCACUCCAGACCCCGUCUUGAAAAAGAUAAAUAAAAAAUGUUUUAAAUAAAAAAGACUUCACAUGAUUGACCUCGCUACAAAAAUGACAACUCAAAUCUCACAGGCUCUUUCUGUGUGGUUGGUUGGGUUAACUUUUGUUGCUAUUAGCAGUGGUGGGUUUUGUCUUGUUAUGCUCGUGUUUUGGUUUGGUUUCAAGGGCAACAGCAGGAAUUGACGAACACGUGGUUGAUACUUUGUUUUCGAUUCGGGGGCUUUUAUAUUUUUGCCUCACCCAAAAGGUUCAUACCAAAGGUAUUUGAAAAGUAAGGACUAAAGGACUAGGAAUUGCUUAAAAGAGAAGUCUUCCCAUUUUAUCUUGGAAUGUAUUCUAUGACUUUUUUUUAAGACAACAGAUUUGUAUUUCCAAUUGUGUUUGACUUACUCUAUGAUAAAAUUACUUUUCAUUUGUGGAACAUGUAGUGGCAGAAUGAUAGGAAGACAACAUUUAUCCUAGGAACAAGCUGUUGUGGAUGAAGACAGGCCUAAAAUCCAAACACACAUAGCAGCACAAAGUAGGUUAAGUCUGAUGCAUAGUAUAGAUAGCAGAGUAUGUUUAUCGCCUCUUAAAGGUACUAAACCAAAUAUUCGGCUACAUCAUCAACCCCCAAUAUAGGAUCUACUACAUGAAAUAAAAUCUACAAUUUUUGGUCUUAGUGCUCUUAUUCUAAACAGAUGUUUGAUGUGUCUGAUACUAUAUAUAUAUUUUUUUUUUCAAAGCCUAGUAGGGGUUAUCUACACAAUUAAACAUUUUCUAUUUACAUUUUAAAUAUCCCAUUUGACAAGCUUGUAACUUGGGUGCUAGGAUUACCAUAGAAAAAAAAUCACAGAAUACAUGAGAUUUGGAAGCUGAAGAAAGAAAUGUUUCCAUUCCUGUUUCUCAUGGUUAAGUUGUUUUGUCAAUGUCCUGCCACACUAGAGGUAAUAUCUUCAGUCCUUUUUUCAGACUCCAUUAACAUACACAAUUACCAAACAAACUUGGAUUUUACAACCCAAACUUUCUAACAUAGUUCAGCGCAUGAUUUUAUUUUAUUUUAUUUCCUCUGAAGAAGUUAUCAUGGGCCAGGUGCCAUGGCUCACGCCUGUAAUCCCAGCACUUCGGGAGGCCGAGGUAGGGAGAUCACCUGAGGCCAGGAGUUCGAGACCAGCCUGACCAACGUGGUGAAAUCCCAUCUCUACUAAAAAUACAAAAAUUAGCCGGGCGUGGUGGCGCACACCUGUAAUCCCAGCUACUAGGGAGGCUGAAGCAGGAGAAUCUCUUGAACCUGGGAGGCAGAGGCUGCAAUGAGCUGAGAUCGUGCCACUGCCCUCCAGCCUAGGCAACAGAGCGAGACUCCAACUCAAAAAAAAAAAAAAGAAGUUAUCAUGGAUGACUGCACAAUGCAAUAGAAACAACUACUUCCAUUUGAUGUAUACUUCCAACUCUCUCUGUAUGACCUGAGCACCAAAUCUUCUUGUGACUUUAUUUUUCAAUCUGUCAUCAAAUAAGUGUAACAAUUCCUGCUACAUAUCUUACCAGAAAGAAAUCAGAGUCACAGAGCUAACAAUAGUACCCCUGGAGAGACUGCGUUCCUUGGAAGAACUAUAAAGCCACUGGUGUAGUUACUCGUUACUUCUCUUCUCAGCUCCAUGUUACAGCCUCUGAAGCUAAACUGGAAGGCUUAAGUUAGUUGAACAUUCAUUCAUUCAUUCAAAACAUAUUUAUGAGCACUGAUAGGUGUCAAGUAGCAUAUUAGGCCUUGGAGAUCAAUGGUCAGCAAGACAAGCACAGUUCCUUCCCCUCACAAUGCAUCUCAGAAAAGUACUGAUUCAACUCAUAGGACUUUCAUUUAGUGUAUACACCAAGGGCUCACAUCCAUUUGUAAAUAAUUACUCAUAAUCAUAAUUACUAAUAAUCACUCUACUCUGCUCCUGAAAAAGGAAGACCACACGCACUACAUGAAAAGCCACAGAACACACGAAUGCUCCAUAAUAUGAAGGCCCCACAUAGGCCAAAAAUAUCACCCACUAAGCACCUUAUAAUCUAUGAACGGGAAGCAUGGUGUUAAGCCCUAGAAGAUGACUGCAGACUUUUAAAGGCAGAAUACCUUAGCCUAAAUGAUGACCUGUCAAUUACAGGACAUAUCUUCUGUGACUGCAGACUUUUAAAGGCAGAAUACCUUAGCCUAAAUGAUGACCUGUCAAUUACAGACAUAUCUUCUGUAACUGUGCCAUCCAAUACAGUAGCCAUUAGCAGCUAUUUACAUUUAUCAAUUAGAAAUUCAAUUCUGGCUAGGCGCAGUGGCUCACACCUGUAAUCCCAGCACUUUGGGAGGCCGAGGCGGGCAGAUUGCUUGAGCCCAGGAGUUCAAAACCAGCCUGGGCAACAUGGCGAAAUCCCACCCCUACUAAAAACACAAAAAUAGCCAGGCAUGGUGGCAGGCCCCUGUAAUCCCAGCUACUCGGGAGGGCUAAGGUGGGAGGAUCGCUUCAGCCUGGGAAGCAGAGGUUGCAGUGGGCCAAGAUUGCACCACUGCACUCCAGCCUUGGUGACAGAACAACACCGUCUCAAAAAAAAAAAAAAAAGAAAGAAAGAAAAGAAAAGAAAUUCAGUUCGUCAGUCACACUUAAUGUGCUCAAUAGCCACAAGUGGCUAGUGGCUACCACACUGGAUAACACAAAUUUAUAAAUCAUUUCCAUCCUCUCCAAAAGCUCUAUGGGACAGUGCUGCUCUACAAAUACCUCUGUAAUACUCAAUCUGAAAAUUACAGCAAUGAAAUGUGAUGAAGCACCUGUGCUCUGUUAUGGCACAUCAAAGCAUGUCCACUGGUAAUGUAGUACUAGUUCUUCCUUCCCAAGUAAAUCGAAAAACAAAAACAACCUUGGGCAUCUCCUCCAGCAUAUAUUAGUAACCAAGAAAGUUCACACCGUCCAAUCGGCCAGUGAAGGAUGAAAUUCGCAAACAAGUGAAAAACUGAUAUUUUGCCCCUUCCUAUUUCUUUGAUAAUGUGUUACUAUUAUUGUGUAUUUUCUGUGUAAGUUUUGUCUUGGGGUGCUUUCAGCUGUGUUUUUAGCCUGGUAGCAAGCAGCAGAGAAGGAGGUGAGGACAGUUCAGAAUGAAGAUGAGUGAUUCAGGAAAACACCGACACAGAUAAUGCAACUUAAAUGGAAGUAAAUGUAAUUGCGACCAAUGCAAUAAACUUAAGUGCUUACUGUGUGCCAGUGAUGUGCAGAUAAACAAGUCACCAUUCUCACCUUUGAGGUGCCCAAUAUGUAACAAAUACAAUGAGAUAUGCUGUGAUAUAAUGCAAUAAGACAAGCAUAUAUAUAAUGCAGAGAUGACGCAGGGAGGGUAUUUUUUAAAUGGUUUCUGAGGAGAAAUCAGGGAACAUUUCCUGAAGGAGGUAUCCAAGAAGCAGAAGAGCAAACUAAGCAAAGCCAUGCGCAGGAAUCCCAAGUGGUUUGGCAAUGCUGGUGAAAAAUGUGUUUCGUGGUAAGGAGGAUGGGGGUGGACAAUGGGAGGAGGGAGAUGGGGCUAGAGAGCUAUUUCCACACCAGACCACAGAUACUCACGUUCCAGUCAGGUUUGCCUGAGUAGGUCUAUAAGCCUUCCUCAUCAAAACUGCAAGUAAUAUGAAAACCAAUCCCUAAAGUAUGCUAAAUAAUAUACCCAUGCCUGCCAUAGAGGUAACAAUAUUUGACAGCAAUCAACAGGAAUAUAAAGUUCUUUGUGACACGGUACCUCUUAAUAAUACAUACUGGUCACAAAUACACUGUAGCUAGUAUCAUUUGUUUUCAGGGAGAAACCUCUGUUUACUAUGAGUUUUCUUUGGAAUCUCUGUACAGAAAAUACUAAUGAAAUGGACUACUCCCACAUCUAAACGUCCCACCAACAGUUUAUCUGACCAGGAGACAAAUCAAACAAAUUAAGGGGAGAAAAGAGAUGUAACGGCAAAGUUUCUCUACUCCAGACUAGUUGUUUUUUUUUUUCUCCAAAAUGCUAAUGGCAGAACUUCUGCUACUCUGUACUGUACCGCACCUCUGGGUACAUCCAGCUGUGACCACACCACAACUGUAUCGCAUCCAGCAACCUAAAGUACUCUUGUGGUUGCUCAUGUAAAUACUUGGAAAAUAUCUGCCUCUUCCGGACUCUCCCCUUCACAUUAUAGAAAUGCUCAAGUCUCAAAAACAAAACAAGAAACUUCCAGAGAACCUAUUCACUUCAAAUUACGGAGAUCCCCUCUCUCCUUGAUCCACAAUAAACUUCUGGAAAAGGUCGCCUACAGGCCUUAAAGAAUCACCACGAUUUUCCUCCCCUAUACAAGCAAAGCUUUUCAGACAAAAAUCUUAACAGUAGAAAUGUACCCACAUAAACAAGCUGGCCCUCAGGCAAACAUUACUACUAUUCACACAAACAUGGGGCCCUUAGGCAAAGGUACAUUUUCCACGAGGCAUAUGUGACUGUUGAAAGUAGGGGUUUUGAACUCGACCUCCCUAGGUCCUAGUCACAGUAGUCCUCCCUGAUUAACUCCGAGCUUCCACUCCUCCUCCAACUAUAAAAUAGGGGUAACAGUACUUCUACGAGUAGAUCCAUGUUUGGGGAGCCGCAGUAUCUGACACAGAGACCCCACUGAGUGACAGAUGAAUACGUGUUAGCUAUUUUAGCUAUUUUUACUAUUUUGUCCCUAAAUAGAUGUGAUUUCACAAGUAGCUAUUCCAUCAAGCUGGUUACUUCUAUAAAUUCUCACUGCACCAAAAUCACUUAUGGGGAAGAGGGGGUUAAAAAUACACUGUCCAGGCCCUAUGUGGAUGUGGGUCCAAUUGGUCUGGGAUUGGGCUGGCGUUAGAAUCCUUCUUAAAGCACUCCAGUUGGUUAUUACACGCAGCCGGCCUUCAGGAGCACACAGAAGUGUCUACCCGUCCACCGGGAUGUACACACCACCUGUAAGGUCCGAGUUCUGAGCCGAGCAGCGCAGGCAGGUCCUCUCUCCUGGACUAGGCUCCCCGAAGCGCUGCGACGACAAACCUAGCACUGCUCGCCGAGAAGCGCCAAGCCCCUCAGCCAGCGCCGGGGCACCCGCGCGGCAGGGCUCCAUCGGGGGCCACACGCCCCCUCGCGCGCCCUCCGCGGGCGCAGGCCCCUCCGGCCCGUGUCACCGCGCCCUCGCCUCCCGCGCCCCGGCCCCCUCCCGCCCACGGCACGUGACUCGACACGCGCCAGCUGCACGCGGGCUCCAUCAAAACAAAAACAGAGGAGGCCGGCCGGGCGGCGGCGGGCGCGCGCGGGGGCGGCAGAGAGCGGGCGCGCCCCCGCUGCCCGGCGCCGCGACCGCGCCUCCACCGCCCCGGGCACCGCCGGCCGCGCGCCCCGGCAGGCCGGGGGCGGGAGGGCAGAGGGCACCACCCUGUUUACCGCCACGGCCCCGCCCCGCCAGCGCCCGCUCCCGGAAACGGUCUCCCGGGAGAGGGCCGGCGAGUGCGCACCCACCCGCGGCGGGGAACGCCGGCCCUGCGUGGGAGGCGCCCGGCUCCGGCGGCCCGCCGCCCCCGGCUGCUGCGUGUCACCCCCGUCACGACUCUGCUACGCACUUCGCCCCCAGCUUUCAGCUCCGGCGCUUCCGCAGACCCCUCACGUGGCUGCCGCCUCCCUGCCAUGGCACUCCCCGGCGACCGGGGCUGCGGCCCCUAGCGCUGCGAGGGAUCCCGAGCCUGUGCCCACCCCACCUUGGACGUCACCCUCCUCGGACCACCCAACCCACACCUUCCGCCUAGGGCGGGGCGAGGGGAGGACGGCUACGAGCUGUCAGGAGCCUCCAGCUUUCCCCGUGACGAAGCUCACCCUCGCCCUGAUGUCGCCACUCACCCAGCAGCGGGCUGCGAGCUGGAGCAGACGUUAACACCGAGGGAGGACUGAAGGGAACGUCUUGAUUUUUCUCCUUAAUUUGCCACAGACACAGGGAAAAAAAAAAAAAAACAAAAACAGCAGACGCAGCUCUACCUUUGCGCUGGCUUUAAAGCUUUUAAGCUCCCCACGUCAUCCUACCCCAUGCAACAGACUUACCGAAUAGCAAUGCCCACCCCACACACCUGCUAGGUAACUCG
rnacentral:lncRNA from 1 species